rnacentral:piRNA from 1 species
UAGGGGGUGUUCACCAAAAUU